rnacentral:lncRNA from 1 species
UUUUUUUUUUUUUUUUUUUUUUUGCAAAAUGUAGUUAUCAAGAUUCGAACUCAAGACCUUUGUAAUAGAAGACCAAUGUAGUAACCGUUGCACUAUCACAUCUUAUUAGUUUUUUUUGAUAACUUAUUUAUAUAAAACAAACACUCAUAUUUCUUUUGUUCCAUUUUUUUUACAAAAUAUCAUCCUUUCAUGACUCUUUCUUUUUAAUCUUCAACACACACACACACACACUCUCUCUCUCUAUCAUCUUUUCUUUUGCCACUCAUUUUUUAAUCAAAUCUCUUUAUUUUUAAUUUAUUGAUGUUUUCUUCCAUAUUUUAAUUUUGUUUUUGUCCAUUAAAUUUAAAAAAGUUAAAAAAGAAUUAUUUUUCUUUAACCCAAUUUAUUUAAUACCACAACCACUCACUUUUAUCUCAUUUUUUGUUUCUUAUCAAAUUUGCAUUUCUAUUUUCAAUUCUCUUGAUUUUCUUCGAACUCCAAAUUUCCUUUUUUAAAUUGUAAAUUUAAAUUCCAAAAUGUAAAUUAAAAUUUAAGUUCACAAUGUCUAAAUUCUCAUAGACGUGAAUUUUGUAUAAUUUCAAAUAUUGUGAUAUUUUUGGAUUAUAUUUAAGAUUUUUUUGGUAGAUAUAAUUGAAAUUGAAAUGAAAUUUAUUUCUUUUAACUUAUAAUUUAAAAAAUUUAUUUUUAAAAAUCCAAGUUAUUCAAAAAUAGUAAACUUUUCAUCAUAUAAAGUAUUAAAUUAUCCAUUACAUGUCUUAUUUUGUGCACAUAUAUAUUUAUAUAAAUUAUUUUUUAAAAAAUUCAUUGAACCGAGGUUGAACCGGUCCGACCGGUUGAACCUCGACCCUUUCACUUCACCGGUUCGAUUAACGGUCCGGUUUUUAAAACAAGGGUUACGAGAGGGGCUGAAUCCCCCGGUAUAACUCCGAAGCUCAAAUUAGAUCAGUAUUAAAGGAGUAAUAUAACAAUGGAGAAGAGUAGUAUAGCUUGUGUUACCAGAAAUUGGUCAUCCCCCGUCUUAGUUGGUACGUUGGGUAUUUAUAGGGGAUUGGUUGGGAAGAGGGACUGGCAGCGCGGGUCCCUAAAGAUCUGAAAUGGUCAGUGCAUCUGGUGGAUUUGACGGGUUUCUAUGAAAAGGUGUGAUGGGACAUUCGCCAGGUUCAGACUGCGUGUGUCACAGCAGUUGUCCAUCAGAUGUCAGGUGUGUCAGGUGUCAUUUCCUAACUUCUGUAGUUGUCUAUCAUUCAGGUGUCACCUCGGCUAACGACCUGAAGAUCCUAGCCGAGGUGGUAAACGGGUUGCCAUCACCUCGAUAAAUAAAGGGCAGAGGUGGCGCUUCAGGAGGUAUCACAGGAUAAGGCCUCGGACUAUCUGGGCCGAAAUGACCAUCCUCACCCUACAAGAAUGCUUAUGUUGUGGAUUUGCAAGAGUCCCUGCAUUUCUCGUACUUUUAAUGUUAUAGAUUUGUCUCUGUAUCAUUGGUUACACAUGCCUAUGUAUCCAAAUUCCCAAAGUCACUUGAGAGCAAGCUGUUCUCAAGUGGGAUGUACUAAUGUAGGAUGGAUGUUUGAUGAUUUUUGGGUCAAGGCGGAUCACGCAAAGGAGGAUUGAAGAAAGAAAGUUAUCACUACUAUUGUCUCGAAUCGGUUUAGGUCAACCGUGACUUGCUUGGAUAGAUUGAAGGUAGUGACAUGGUUUUUGUGGGCACUCACCUCGGCCCUCCUCAAUUCUUCAAUGCCGAGGUGAUUAACUUUCUCGGAUCUUCAAUGUCGAGAUAAUUAUCUCGACUUCUUAACUUCAAACCGCAACUCAUCUCCAUCUUCUCGAAACGAGUCCCACCUCGGCUUUGCCCUCAAGUCUGGUCACUCAAUGCUUGACACCUUCAAGCAAAACUGAUUAAUACCUGAUAGGUUGAUGUGACCACCACCUUUCUAUUGUCCAGACCUACCUUUGACGUCACCACCCUUGGCUGUCACGCUACAAGUAACGGGGAGUAGAAUUCAUCAUUCCCUCUAUAGGUCUUUCGAUUAUAAAUACUCUUCUUCUAUCUGUGAAAAAGGAAGGAAGAACUCCAACCCAAUUAGUUUUGCUUUUACUUACAACUUCUGACCCAUAACUGACAUUAUGAUCGGAAUGGGACUGGGGGAUAAAACCCCAGACAUUUCUAUAUCUUGGUAGGUGAGAUCAUGCUCUCAACUCGGUUUGCCCACUCGAAAAUCACCUCAUCAGUUUUCAAAUCCACAAACCAUGAUUCGUGGACUUUCUCCACGGAUCCACAUCAGGGCUUUUUGUGUAUUUCUUUUGUUCUGCAUCAUUUUUUUCUUUUUUCUUUUUUUAUGCUAAUAAGCGAUGUACCAUAUAAAUGGGCAUACCCUAGUUAUUUUCUGCCAUUCUCUUAUCAACUUUUAUUGGGUUUUUCCAAUAGAUUAAGAGUUCCUCUUCUACUAAUCUUUGAUUCGCUCAAGAAAAUGAUCGUGUAAAUUUUUCUUUUGGUUUACACUUUCACAUAAUUUCCGAUCACACUAGCCACCCCCCUCUUUGCUAGUCGCAUCACUAGCUGUGUGACAUGGUGGGCAAUAGUAUUAGCAAAAAUACUUAUCUUAUUCUUUACUAUGCAAAAUUACAUUCCUCCCAGUUAAUGGAAAAAGUACAUUGUAUUUUACAAAGAUGAAAAAUUCCCUUAAGUUAUGGUGAAAUAAACCAAAAAAAAAGUAAAGAAUGAAUUUUAUUAACGACAUAUCCAAGUUUAAAGAAAACUUCAAGAUGAAACAAAACAUAAUAUAUUGGUAUUUUGAGCCUCCUAAAAAGUACCACAAAUAAAAAAAAUGAAAAUUUCCCUUAAGUUGAUGUGAAAUAAAUACAAAAAGAAAGAACAAAUUAUAUUAACAAAAUAUCUAAGUUUAAAAAGUACUUCAGCAUGAAACAAAUUAUGAUAAAUUGAUAUCAUGAGCCACCCAAAAGUACCACAAGUCUUUUUAUUUUUUUAUUUUGGAUAGAAGUACAAUAUGUCUCAAGAUCAAUUUUUUACCAUAUAUAUAUUGGUAUUGAUUAGUGGACUUCAACAAGAUAGGAGAUGGUGUGAAAGGGUAGGCAGUGAGUUUUUUUUUAAAAAAAAAAAUUCAGCAGGGAGGGGAUGGAAUUAAGAAGUAAGAAGGGAUAAGAAGGAUUGGAAUCCAAGACAUCUAAAUCUUGAGACAAAGAGUUUUAUGUUGGGAAUUUUUUAUUUCAAUUGCCACAAAAAAUUAAAUUUAGGAACUUCACUAAGAGUAUUCUUAUAACAAAUGACAGCAUUAAACUACUAUAUCAAUGUCAACAAAUACACAAUAUUCUUUUUAUAAAAUAUCCAAUUUCAAAGGUUACGUCAAAGAUGUACUAAAAUACAUCCAGGUUCCUCAUCAGAUUGAUUAUUAUAUAAUAAAUAGUCCUAACAGUUUACAAUUUUUAGUCAUAUAAGUUCUAUACCUAUAAAGUAUGUCAUCAAUAAGAAACACAAACAUGGUUCGCCAAAUCAAAGCAUUUCCUUUAAAGUGGAGCUAUUGAAAUUCGAGCAAUAGAAGUUCAAUAUAAAUUAAAUAGCAUUACAAUUGCAAUAGCACUGUGGAUCAUCUUAAAAUUCACCAUUAAUAGAAAAAAACUAAAAAAAACUCACUAAAACUAAUAAAAGUUCAUAGAAUCAUGUGAAGGAGAAUAACAAAUUAUUUAAAAAGCUGAAUAUUUUUAACUCAAAUGACAUAAAAGAAAACAUUCAUGUCACUAAAAUUCACUAGGAAGACAAAAAUAUUUACACUGUUACAAAACAAAAGUGCUCUUAUUAUAUAGGAUGCUUUGCUAUUUGUGCAUUUGUAUUGGAUAGGGCAGGCCAAGUUUAGGAAAAAAAAAGUAAUAAAUAAUAUAAAUGUUAAAUAUCAUUCUAUUGUCUCAAUUAUAUUUAUUCCCUCAAAACAAUUGGUUUUUUCAAAAUUAAAAAAAAAAGAAGAAGAAAAUAAAAUGAGUAAAAUACAAAAAAAAAAAAACCCCAUGUGGUUAAACUAACCUACGGUAAAGCCCCUUAUGGCUUCAAAUCAUAUAUUCCGGCUCCUUAUGGCUUGAACUAAUUUGAAAUAACAAUAGAAAUCGUCAAAACUAAAGGAGACAGAUGAAAUGACACAAUUAUCCAAAUAUAUAUAAACAAUAAAAGACCUUCUAACAACCAUUCUAUUAAGUAAACGUAUGGAAAACUCCCCUGAGGUUAAGUCAACCUAGGGGAAAACCCUCUAUGGUUAUAUUUUGCUUUUGUUUAUUUAUUUUGUGUAUAGGAAUAAGGUAAGUUGUAUUUGAAAGUUUGAUUUAUUUAUUUUGUGUAUAGAAAUAAGAUCAAUUUUAUAUGGAAACUUUUAUUUAUUUAUUUUAUAUAUAGAAAUAAGGUGAGUUGUAUUUGGGAGUUUUGGGUUGUUUUUGAAAAUUUUAUGAGUUCUAAGGGGUUUAAUAGAUGUAUUAGCUAAAAUUUUGAUUUAAAAAAUUAUUUUCCAUGUCAAGAAACCUCAAACUCUUUAAUUUAAAUAAUUUUUGUCAAUUUUUCAUGUUAGUUCAAAUCACCAGGUAUUGGAUUAUAUGAUUUAAAUCUAUAAGGGAUUUUUUUUAUAUAGAUUUACUUAAUCACAGGGAUUUUUCUAUAUUAUAACUCUAAGGGUAUAAUAGGUAUAUCAAUUAAAAAUUUAUUUAUUUCUAAUACAAUUACUCGCAAAAGAAGUGCGUGUAUUUCAAAUCCAUUAAUUCUGACUCUUUCCGUCACUUUUUUAAAUUAAUUCAAACCACGAGGUAUCGGAGUGUAUGUUUUGACAUUAUAGGAAUCUUUUUGUAUAUUCACUUAAUCUUAAGAGGCUUUUCUAUAUUUUAUCCAAAUAAAAAAAAUCUCAUGAUCACGUGCAAAAUACAUGCUCCAUUACUGACUUUAACCAUAAUCAUAUUGGAAUGAGUCCAGAAAGCACUAAAUUACUUUCACAUCUGACACCUAAUCUGCACUAAACUACGAUUGUUGCAUACCUUAUGCUAGCUGCACCACAUUGUCAUCUUCUCCUGCAGUUGUAUAAAAUGUUUUCUUACCAAUCAACCUUAUAUAUUCUUGAAUAAUCUAUGUUGCAUUAUUUUGAUGCCUGGAACCCACAAUUACAACCGCAAAGUCUUACCGAACUCCACCACUUGCAGAUAUCCAUCUCUAAAAAAUGGAAUAUUUUGUGUACUAAUUGGCUUUGCCCGUAAGUCCACAGCAGCUUCCUCCAGUAUUUCAAAUUAGCCGGCUCAUGCCUUUUUCUAUCAAGUAUCAAAAGCAACCUUAUGGUUAAUUUAACCUCCCUCGUUUUGUUUUUAGCUCCUUAACUUGUCAAAAGGGAUAUGUUCAAGGAUGAUGCAGAUUUUCUACCUAGCAUUGACAUCGACUGGGUGUAUCUCGUUACAAUCAUGCUACCUAAAAUCUUUAGUACUAAAUAAAACUCAUCCUGUUCUUAAUUCAAAAUCAUAUUCCAUGGAGAAUUCUCCAAGUGAAGCCCACCGCCUGUUUUGUUUUAUACUGAAAGCUAAAUAAUCUCACAACUGAAAAUGGCAGAAAUAGAAUCUAAAGUCCUUGGAAAAAAGAUACAACAAAAGGAAUUAAAUUGAUUAGCUCUACUCCACAGGGCAUUCAAAUUGUAGUAAGAUAUUAUUUUAAGACAUAUACUAGAUACCAUAAGUUGGUGGUAAUCAUAUUUGGCUCAGUAAUUAAGGGUUUAUCUCAAAUGUCUUAUGCUGAGCAUUCAUUCAGCCUUCCUUCUCCGCAUCCACGUUGUCUCAAAUGUCUUAUGAGGAAUUGGAUGUCUUUGAUUGUGGUUCACCUUGAUGUUAAGAGAGCUAAAACUACAGCUUUCUCAGAUGUUCUACUCAGUCGUCUGCUUCUUCGCCAAUCAAAACUCGCUUUUGCUUUCGUUUCCUGCAUUCAAGCAAAGAAAUUUAUUUGGAUCAACUUCUGGACUAAUUACGGAAAAGUAUAGUUCGCUGAAACUUUUGAAUUUCAUCUCAGUACAGUUUGAUUACUAAGAAACUUCUAUGAGGGCUGAUUGUGAUUAUUUGGUCAUAUUAAGCCUAUCGAACUUUUCCAGAAUGGAAGGGCUUCAUUUUAUGCCUGGACAUGUAUUUUGUUGUUGAAAAAAGAAAAAACAUUUCGUUGUAAUUUCAGAUAUAGAGCUGCUCGUUUUCCACCCUAGAAACAUUAUAAAUGAAAUCUUUGAGCACUGAAGCAUAGCAAUUAUUGUUCUCCAAUUCUCCAUUUGUUGAGCGGAUCUCCAGGCACCCUCUCACGGUAUGGGGCUUGGGAAAACUUGUGUUUAUUAGAUGUAUUAAGCUAGAAGUAGAUGUAUUGGAAGUAAAUCAUCAUGUUUCCACAACUGUUUUGCAUGUCCUUUUGUUCUUUUUCAAACUUUUCUGCUUUUGAAAAUGUGAUUGUGGAUAAUUAAUCCCUCGAAUAUGGUCCAUUGAGGUUGGCCCUCACCACAUGAUCAAGCUUGAUUUCCUCCUCCUGAUUGCACGAUGCUUUCAGUCUCCUUUCUAGUCCCUCAGUGUCUAUCACCAUGUCUGAGUCCUCAUCUCUCAAUUUCCUUUUUUUUUUUUUUUUUUUGAUAUUAACAGAUCCUCUUUCAUGUCUGAGUCCUCAUCUAUCACCAUGAUCAAGUUUUAGCAGUGUCGGUAAUAUUUUUUAGUGGUUAUCUAAGUGAUCUUGGUAAAAUCCUAACUCUCUUCUGUUUACUGCCAUUUGGUUCCUUUUCUUUACUCGUUUCUGCUCUAGCAAGGACAUCCAUCAUCAUCUCAGCAUCCCCACCUAAGUAGUUAUUAUCUUUUUUUCUCAUCUCUGGGAGCCAGACUGACAGUAUCCUCUUCCAUGCCGGACAUUUGAGUUCUCUUCAUAUAUUCUCAAUUGUAUUCUCCUUCAAUUCCCCUGUGCUGCGUCCUACAUUUACUUCUUUUCCACUAUCCUAUCUCUGCCUUUUUUACUCUCUUUUCCCUUUUCUCUGUAUAGUUGUUUUCUUCCUUGAUUCGGUCCAAUAUAAAUUGCUGCCUUCUGGAUUUUUUGGGAACGGGAAUCCCUUAUCCAGUCUUACCACCUCCUACCAAUUGUCUGGUUUAUUUUUCUUUUCAGAACUGAAAAAACUAAUCUAUUAACUCCUCUGGCAUAGUUUAGAGAAGAGUACUAGAAGGAAUUUUUACAGCACAACUUAGGAUUUAGCCCCUACUCAAACCUGCAAAGAAACAGAGAGCAAAAGUUGCAAUUCUCUAGGGCUUAGUCGAUAAACAGAAGACUGUUGAGACAUCAACGCCUAUCUCUCUCAAUUUCUUUAGGUUUCUUUCUAGAGUUCUCUAGCAAUAUGGUUACCAAUAUUUUGACUAAGAGAAACAAGUUCCAUCACCAUAAGUAUGUGAAGACUUGGUCUACGAAUCUAUAUAUGUAUAUGUAUUGCAGGGAAAUUUCUCUUAUUACAAGUCUUCACACACCUCCAAAAUGCUAAUUCCUUUUUUCUAGAAUUUUAUAUAUAUUUUAAUUCGGAUAUAUGGAGCUCCACAAUUUUGAUACAAUGAAACCAUUAGAAAUUGUUAAUUAUUAGUAAUGUAACUUUUUACUGUGCGCAUGAUUAUGUGAACUUUAUCCCUUCUCACAAUUUUAAAUUUACGUGACCUUUACCACUAAUGAACUUGGAACAUCGAAAAUCCAAACCAUAUCUGCAAAAUUUUAGAACUCCAUUUCAAUUACAAUUCCUAUAACUUUAUAGCAACUAAUUAACUGAAUGUUAGUAGUUCCAAAUUCUUAUAUAUUUUUUUAAUUUUUUUCCCCAAAAAAUUUGAUUCAUAUCUUUUGUUUGAAUCAUAAACAGAUUGGUCUCUUACUUUGAAAGUUAAAUCAAAUAUUUUAACCAAAUCCACAAGGAGUUAUCUUCCAUAUGUACUGUAUUUGGAUUCACUUCUAUUAUUGAAUAUUUUUAUCCCUAAUUUUAAAAAUUUGUAAAAUGAAUGUGAGUAGUUAGAAUAAAAUUAUGAAACAAUGUAACUAAAUUAUAUUGUCUUUAUUCGAUUAGUAGAAGUAGGAACUUUAAAUCUCAUGGUUAUUUCGUUUAAAUCUCAACAUUGUCAAUCAAAUCAUAUAUAGUCACAAUGUCAACAAGAAUUUUGUUUUCUCCUCUUCCAAGUACAAAAGUAUUUUAUCUCUCUUAAAAGUUACAAAUUAUUUCAUCAGAUGAUUUUUUUAAGAAAAAGUGAAAAUGGAAAUUCAUGAAGCUAAUCAAGUGGUGGGACUCGCAAGAAAAAUUAGCAACCUUAUGAAGAUGAAUAUCCAACUCUAUAUUAAGGUUCUUUAGUUUUCUUUUUCUUUUUCUCCUUUUUGUUUUAGUUUAUUUAUUUCCUUUUAGAAAAAGUGAAUGAGAAAAUUCAAGGAGCUGAGUCUCGCAAGAAAAAUUAGCAACCUUAUGAAGAUGAAUAUUCAACCGUAUAUUGAGGUUUUAUUUUUCUUUUUCUCCUUUUCAUUUUAGUUUUGUUCCUAAAUCCUACUCACAAUGUCUAUAUUUAGUCUUUAAAUGGCAAAACUCUUUUUUAUAUUUUUAACAUGCAGCUGAGAUUUUUUUUUUGAUUGAAAUAAUCGGAGUCUAUUAUUAAAUAACAUAUUCUGUUAAUUUUUUCUUUGCACUUUUUAAAACUUUUCAUCUUUUAGAUUUUAUAUAAAAUAUUUUAUAUUUGCUUCAAUAUAUAAACCCCUGCAUAGCAUGGAAUAGGAUACUAGUUAUCUCGUCGAAAUAGGCACUUGGUCUUGUACAUUAGAGAAUGGUAAGUUGGCUCGUGCCUCCCUAGCUUACUUUAUACUUAAUGCUUUGGUAUUGUGAGUUUGUUUGUUGAUUUGUAUCCCACAAUUGUAAUAGUUAAUGUAAUGCGUUUUGUGUUUAAUUGUUGAGCAUUAUGUGUGAGGUUUAAUUUGGGCCUAUCGCUUGACAAAAACCAACAGAGACGAGAGGGAGAACUACAUAAUGACAAAGAAAAAGCUACAAAAUACCAGUGAAACAAAGGCAAUGAUACCAGAAAUGUCGACUGAAAAAACAAAACAGUAAUUACUAGAAAGGAUACAGAAAAAAAAAAAGGAGAAAGGAAAAUAACCCACGAGGACCAGAACAAUUUUUUAUUUGCAUUGUUCAUCCAUUUUUCUUUUUUUUUUCUUCCUUUGAUAAAGAUGAGAACGAAAAAGGAAAUCUCCUAAAAGUAGAAGAAGGGCCAGGAUACCAAACAAGAAAGAAGAGUGCUGGGAUUCAGUGCUUUGAUGCUUUCUGUGUUGCUAUGCCUUGAUAUGUACGCUACAAAGUUGAUAUCUUCUCAAGUUUUUUGGAUCAGUAGCCUGAAAGUUGUUGAACAGAGAGGGAAAUUUUCAAAAUUUUUUGAAUUUUUGUGAACUCCUAACAAGAGCGAAAAGCUCUACCUAAAGAGAUGCAAGAAAUCAUAGAGACAUGCAUAGCGAAAUAUCUUUAAAAAAAAAAAUUUUUUAGCAGAUGGAUCUUUGAUUAAAUUCAUGAUACACAGAACUAUUUAAGAAAAUUACCUCAACUCAUGAAAAUCUUCUUGAAUCGGUGAAGAUCAUGAUGGUAAAGUGAUCUAUGUAACCGCACAUGUGCCUAACCUCUAACGGUGAUCCAAAUGAUCCACAAGAACCUCCUUAACUAAAAUCCCUUAGGUUGAAUUAGUUUAAACUAAAUUAGUACUAUCUAUUGCCAAGAAACUUCACACAAAUUGGUUGGGAAAGAAGCCUAGUGUUUCCAAACCCGCCCCAAUGAGAGAAAUAAGAGAUGUAAGGAAUCAAUAAAGUUGGACUUGUUUCAAUGGAGAGCUUGGUUUAAGGGAUGUAUUAUUGGCAAAAUAAACCAAGGUUAGAAGUUUCUAUUUAUUUGUUUACUAAUUUUAUUGGAAUCAGAUAUUUAGUAAUUGUGUGAUUUAGGAAUUUGUGUUUUAUUUAGUAAUUUCUUAUGCAAGUGAUUUGUCUACUUGACAACAAAUAGAACAUUAUUUAGAGUGUUUUCUUAAGAGAGUCCAUAAUAGUUUGUAAGGUUUUUAUUGUGAUGUGACUUUUUUCAUUAUUUUGAGAUAUCAAUAAUAUUUGAAUUAUUUAUUUUUUCUUUCCCACAUAAAUAUUUUGAGUGGUUAUUUUAUUCCUUCAAUUCUAUAAAGUUGCAAACACUAAUAAUUAUUAGAACCCUAGAUUUGGGUUCUACACGUCCUUUAGAUAUGGAAUAGUCGAGGAACUCUGGGCCCUCGACAAUUCCAUGCCAAAACUCUCAUUUGGAUAUGGUAGACCUAUUGGGCUUUGAUCUCGACCACCACUUAACUAUUUUUGACAGACCCUACUUCUGAUUUCCACUUCUUAGAUGUGCACUUAUCAAUUUGCAUCAGAUCAUCUUCAAUGAUGUUAUAUAAUAUAAAAUUUUAUAUUACAUAUAAUAUAUAUAUAUAUAUAUAUAUAUAUAUAUAUAUAUAACACAUAUGAAUUUGAAUCGAAUUAGGUAUUCAAUCUCCAAUUUGCAUUGUAAAUUCAAAAUCAAAAUUUUCGAUUUGAGAAAACAUAGAACCAAAUUCAAACCAAAUUCAUAGAUUUUGAAGAAAAAAAACCCAAAAAACGCCUAAUUUCCUUUCCUUUUUUCGCUUUACCGAUUUUGAAAAUUUCAAAUUUAAUUCAAAUUUAAUCGGUAAUCGAUUUUUUUCUGAGUUGCGCACUCAUAGGAAAGGGUGCUAAUGUUUUUAGGCCAGGGUUUCACGAUAGUUUGGGUUUCACUUGAGGCCUUAUUGACGCCUACUUGUUUAUUAGCACUAUCUUGAAGGAUUCCAGUGGCCCAUGGUUUAAGCAUAAGCAUUUUCAGACCUGGAUUGGACUAGAUGGUUCAAUCGAUUGGACCGUGAAUUGAUCAUGUCUCCGGUCCAAUUGAAUACUUAGUCAAAAAAAUAAAAAAGUAUUAAAACAGUCAAAGAUGGUAAAAAUGUUAAAUUAUUAAAAAAAUAAUUGAACCGUAAACCGGAGGUUUUUUAAUUUUCUUAUUAAUAACUAAAGAAAUCAAACCUAAAACCCUAAACUUACCUUCUCAAAGUUAGCUGUGAGCCACUACUUUCUCUCUCUCCUUCUCUAGCAUUCCUCUCCUUUAUCAAACUCUCAUCCAAUCUCUUCUUAGUCUUUAGAUUUGCAAUCUCCAAGACUCUAAAGGUCCCUAAUCUCUACCUCAUGCUCUUAUUUGUCAACGGGCAAGAUGCAACUUCCAUUUAGUCUUUGACAAGGUUAAGAUCUAGGUUAGAUUUAUAUUAGUUCUUUUUUUUUUACGUUGUUAUGUAUUUUGAAGGGCUAAUAAAUUUGUUAUAAGUUUUCUUUUUUUCAAUUUUUUACGGAUUCAAUCAUUAGGUUAUAAGGUUUUAGAUUGUUAAGAGUAUCAUGGGAAAAUAAAUCAGAUAACUAAAUGCCAAAAUCAAGAUAAAGAAGAAAAGCAUGAAAGGAUGGGUUUAGAACUUCUUGUAGUCUAAGCAUUGAGUCUGUGAAUAGGAAGAAAUAACUAUAGAUGAUGACUUCUGCCAAUUAUUAUAGGAUUGUUUUGGUUGAAUUUUUAACUUUUGAUUGUUUGUGUGUAUUUCUUGCUCGUGCUCAUUUGUUCAGUUGAUUGUUUUUUUUUUUUUUUUUUUUUUUUGAGUUGAAGUUGGUGGUUGUUAGAAUAAUGAUAUGGAUAACCAGUAACCAUUUCUGGUUUUAAACGAUAAUGUUAAUGAAGAUGAUGAUAAGCAUUGCUUGAAGAAUUAUCUGCAUCAGCUAGUCGCUAGUUCGUGGUGUGUAGACACCAAAAGGGAAAAACAAAAAACAAAAAUCCUUUUUUGUAGGAAAAUCGAAAGGGAAAAGAAGUAAAAACAAAAAUGCAGUUUUUUCAAAAAAAAAAAAAAAUUCCACGCAUGUGUACAGGUUUUUUCUUCAGCAGAAACCAGCAAGAUAGUACAGAUAGCUGGCUUUUGUUUUGAGGAAUUUUGAUUCGAUUUUUCUUCCUUUUUUUUCCCAAGUAUACCAAUACGAAAGCCACCUCAUUACUAAAUUCUAUCAAGAAUCUUUUAGAAAAGAGGCCAUCAAAUGGCCCAAAAAUAAGCAGCGAAAAUGGUUGCAUCUCAACCCUUGAGAGGAGGGUUUUGGAGGUUUUCAUUUCAUUUAAACAGCAAAGGACACAGCCUUCGGAAGGGGAAGAAAUAAGGAAAGAAGACUGCAGAAAAAUCUGGGAAGGAAGAGAAAGAAAGGAGAGAGAAAAAGGCAAAUAAAAAAAAUUGCAGAAACUUUUCAGAAAAACAGGCUGAGCGAUCAGCCAUUUUCGAGCUUGAUUUCCUCCUUCGAUACAGCUCGGUUAGGGGAGACGUUUAAUUCUGGGUAAUUUAGAAUCUUAUUAGAGAAUGUUUCAUUUAGAAAAAUUUCGAAAAAAAUGGCUGCAACAUCUUCGAAUGGGGCUUGAACUUGUUGCCUUCGAAGCCCCUUGAACCCUGAAACGAAACCUUCUCAGCUUCAUCUUCUAACUUUUGGAUCCGUUGUUCUUGAGGUUUACCGGGUUUAUUCGACUCUUCAAGGCAUCAAAGGUAGUUUAUUUCAUUUCUUUCCUUUCAUAGAAGCUUAGAGUCACACCAGAUCCAUGAAAAUCUUUGCUGCAUUUGUUCCUUCUUCUGCUGCUGUUUUCCUCUUCGCCUUUUUGCAAACCAUUAGCUCAGAUUUCUACUAUUUAAUCUCGUGUUGAAUGUUGUAUUUGGGUGAUGAAAUUUGGUGCUGAUGUUUGAGGUUGCAUAACCUUAUGUAUUUGGAUCCGAAAUUUUGGAAAUCAUUUUGGUACGGUUUCUGGGUUUGAUGAAAUUCCAGAGUUCAAAAUGCUUCGAUGGUCUUGCAUGGAGGAAUUCGAAAAUUGUAAUUUGGCCUUCCAAAUUUAGAACAAUUGCACUAAGGUCCAAAAAUUUGUAAAAAUGGAUGAAUUUUUCUCGUUAAAGCCUAGUUUUUUUUUAUGCAUUCUUUGAAUAAAUUAAUUCUGGUCUUCAAAAUAUAAUUGGGGACCUGAAUAAAGUUUAUGAAAUCUAGAAAAAAUUUUUGAUAAAAAGAAAAUGGGUUGAGGUGUUGUGUUGGGUUUGGGCUAGAUUUUUUGUGUUUUCUGGGCUAAAAGUUAAGCAAAGAUUUUAUUAUUGUUUGGGUUUGUACUUGGGCUUUGAAGAUUCAGCCCAACAUUAUUUUAGAUUUGGUCGAACAAAAUAUAUGGGUUGAUCUGUUGGACUGAAGUGACUUAGCCCAAAACAGGCAAAGGACAAAAGCAAAAAAAAAAUGGCCAAUGUUGUCUUGUUCUUGAGAGCCCAGAAAUGGAUUUUUCGGUUUGGUCCCUAAUCUUUCACAUAAUUUUACUAUGUUCCUAAAAUGUUUAAAUUUCUUUCAAUUCGAUCCUUAAUUUAAUUGCAUUUUGGUCUCUAAAUUUUAUCCUUUAUUCAAUUUUUUGGCCUAAUUUUUUCAAAAUUAUAAUUUGACCUCAAAAUUUUUUAAUUUUUGCAAAUAGUUCCCUCAUCUUUAUUAUUUCUUAACUACAAUUGUUCAUCUCGUCUAACUGUUAAUCAUGCUUCAUUUAGAUGCAUUUAAUUGGUAAAUUUUAGGAAUUUUAUGUUUAUUCAUAUUUCUUUAGAAUAAUAGAAUGAAUUUUGCUACAUGUUUACAUUUUCCUUUAAAUUGUUAAUUAAAUUAGUAUCUUGACUAUUUUGUUAAUUUUGGAAUAUAAAUAGAGCAAACUCUACUUCAUUUAGCUACUAUUUCAAGGGAGGUAUCUUCUAUUAUUAUUUUAAGUUCUUUUAUAUGCUCUUAUGUGUUUUAUGCGUGAUUGCGUGUUUUGAGUGCUUUUUCCUUUAUUUACUUAUUUUAUUCACUUUAAAUUUUAAUUUAUUUUAUUUAAUUUUUUAUGAUUAUUUGAGAGGUAUUUAAAGGCUAAACUGUAAUAGAUAGGCGCCCAAGAAAUGUAUUUAGUUAGACCAUGUAAUAUAUAGAUUUUAUUUUUGUCAAAAUUGUAAUUAGCUAGAUAAAUAUAAUAACUAGGUUUAUUAUUUUCAAAAAUUUCCCUUUUAGAUUGUAGUGAGGGCCCCAAUGUAACAGUUAGUUUUUAUUUACUUACAUACUUGUGUGCUUAUGUGUUUAUUCGCUUUCUUUAAGGUUUUGCAUUUAGAUAUUAUACCUAUGUGUUAUGUGCUCUACAUACUCUAUAUGUUUUAUACAUUUAUUUGUUUUAAUUAUGUUUUAUAUGCUUUAUUUAUAAAUGCAUGACGUCGUUACACUCGUCCAACGCUAGUUGUGGCCUUUCUCUCCGAUUUUUCACUAGUCCAAUGCUAAUGAGAACUUGUAGAAAUGGUCUAAUCCAAUGCUAGACCCUUUAGAACAUUUUUGCGCUAGAUUCAUAUCUUGUGUAACAUUUAUUGCAUCUCAUGCAUUUUUUUCUACUUUUAGGAUAUUUUUAAUUGUAUGAUAUUUUCUCAAUAUUAUUCCCUUACGCUCUAUAUGUUUAGACCAUAUCAUUUAGAAUUACAUCCUAUUUUAAAAAAUUAGAUGUAGGGUAACUCAUUUGCUUGUGUAGGUUAGAAGAGUUUCCCUUCAAAUAUGCGAAAUGAACGAAUGAGAUGUUUUAGUUUUAGCACGCUCUUUCCCCUUUUAUAAAAAGGAAAAUUAGGUCACGAAUUUUAGUCUCACGUACCCAUUAUAUUGCAUUCCUGUCUUUUAAGUCAUGUAUAUUUAUGUAUAUAUUAUAAUUUUUCUUUUUUUUGAAUAUCAUUUUUUGCAUAUCAGUGACAUUUUCAAUGGAUCAUUUUUUGGCUUCACAAUUAAUAUGACUUGCAUCAAUUAAAUUUUGAAAAGACAUUUCGACCCUUCUAAUAUCCUUUAGGUCUAGAUUUACAUCUAUAUAGAAACAUCCAAAAUAUGAAAAGUUUUAUACGUUAAAUUAUGAAAAUUUUCGACUAAACCUCGUAACUAGCCAUUGGUUAGGUUGAAAGGGUGCCUUAGAUCAAAAUCUUUGCCUUCCCCUUCUUCAACCGUGACCCCCAAAUUCUUUUCUAUUGUUUCAAAGACCUGAAGUCAUCUAAAAGGGUUUUAUUUAUUUUUUACUUAUAAUAUAUUUUAAAUGAUUUGAUACACCUAAACUCGAUACUAAUCGGCGACUCUUAUUUUCUUAAAAACCCUUUUUAGACUACCAUUUUCGGCCCAAAUCAUCACACUUUCUAAAUCCCAUUUUAGAUCGUUUUUCUUUAUUUAUAAAAUAAAAUUAAAAACUCCUCUUUAACACUUUCCUUUUUAUUUUUAAAAAAUGGGGCGUGACAUGGUGAAGAUAAUGAAGAUAAAGAACAUAAUGAAGUUGUACCUGAAGAUGAUGAUUGAUUUUUUUUUUUUUACUUUUCUUUUGAGUUGUUUGGAUCUUUUUGUAGAUUAUUUUAUACUUUUUAGAUAUUACUACUACUAUUCUAGAGUUAAUAUUUGGAUAAUAGUUGUAAAGAAGUGUAUUUUAUUUCAUUUUUCUAUAUUUUGUUUCAUUUUUCUAAAUUUGUAAUGUUUUUCAAUGUUCGUUGAUGAGUUAAGAUGAUAUUUUAUUUUCGUUGAAUGUUUAAGUUUAAAAUAUUUGGAUAGUACAAAAAUGUACUCCCUCCGUCCCACAAAGUUCGUCGCACUUCGAAAACAACGCUUUUUAUGUACAGUAACAUCCACUUACCUAUAAACUCAUUUGAUGAGUUAAGAUGAUAUUUUAUUUUCGUUGAAUGUUUAAGUUUAAAAUAUUUGGAUAGUACAAAAAUGUACUCCCUCCGUCCCACAAAGUUCGUCGCACUUCGAAAACAACGCUUUUUAUGUACAGUAACAUCCACUUACCUGUAAACUCAUUUGUUCCAAGCUUGCCCUUUACUGACUCAUCCAAGAAACAAAUGGGUCCCAUAAAAAACAAUCAUUUGUUUCAAAAAAUUGGUUUCCUUACCGUAAUCUUCUUCAUCCAAGAAACAAAUGGGUCAAAGCGGACCCAUCAAAAAGCAAUGCUUUAUUUCAGCCACCAAAAAGUACGUCUAGCACAUGCAUUGUCACAUCAUUAGUGGAGGGCAAAAAUGAGACUUCACAGCUUAAAAUAGUUUAAAAUAUUAAACAUGACAAAUAUUUUGGGACAACCCAAAAACGAAAGUAUGACACUUUCAAUGGGACGGAGGGAGUAUUUUGUUUAAAUUUUGUAAAUUUUAUAUUGUUUUUCAAUGUUCUUUGAUGAAUUAAGAUGUAGUUUUAUUUUUGUUGAAUGUUUGAGUUCAAAAUAUUAAUUUUACAUGAGAGUCCUAUUUUUUCAGGUAACUAUAGCAUUAUUAGAUUAAGUAUUUGUUUAGAAAUAUUAAUUUUUAAUUAAAAAUUAGUGAAUCAAGGUUGAACCGCGACCUAAUCACUUCACUGGUUCAAUCAACGGUCCAAGUUCUAAAACAUAUUGACAUUUAACCCGCCAUUUUUUGAAAUUUGAACUAAAACAUUGUUUUCCCUCUUUGUUUCUAACGUGAUAGACUUCUCAUCACCAGCAUUUUGCCUUCUCUCUGAGACCUCUCUGAAAGGGCUAAAAAAGGAGAAGCGACUAUGAAUGCUGGCAGGCAAAUUGAAAAGGUGAAACAUAGGGUCAGUGACGGGUGCACUGGAGAGAGAAAUUAAUGCUUUAAUGAUCCAAGAAAAGGAGAAAAAGGUGUGGGCAUGGAUGGAUAUAAAGUUCUUAGCAGAUUUUAUUUGUUAAGCUCCUGAGAGAGGAGAAGAAAAGCUCUCAUUUUUAGAUAGAUGUAUCACACCCGUGGAUGAGUAGCAAAGUUUUGAAAGGUUAAACAUAAAGCAAUUAGAAGAUAUGAAAACUAGAUAAAGUAACCAAAGAAGGGUUGAUCAGAGGAUUUAUGCUAAUAAUUGUCAUCAUUAUCUUCAGAUAAUUUCCGUCUUCCACGCAUCCCUGUUAUGCACAAUUCACCUGUAAAUGAGGCUUUAGUCCCACAUCGAAUUUUGCAUAAGGGAGGCUCUCCCUUAUGUGCCUAUAAAUAUAGUAGGCUUGUGAUGAGAUUAAGUGCACCAAACCAAUAGAGUACUUGUGGGUUAUUUGGGCCUUUAGGUCAUUAAACCUUUUAUUUAGUAAAAUAUUUUGGGCUCUCUUGUGUUUUAAGAAUUAGGUGUAUUUGGGCCUAAAAACACUUUCCUAAGGCAUUUUGUACACUUUUCUUCAUAGUAAAAAUAUUGUUCCUCCUCCACCCAUGGACGUAGGUCAAUUUGACUGAAUCACGUAAAUUUCUGUGUUUCUGUUUUAUUCAUUUUGCUUUGUUAUUUGUCAUUUGGGGUUGCCAAAAAUCCUUUCAUUAAUUUCCUGGGGCCAGUCCUAACAAACUAGUAUUAGAGCUUCUUCGGAGGUUUUGAAUUUUGUGACAACAAUGACAAUAACAAAGACUAUUGUCAAAAAAUUCGACAGGAAUGUCAACUUCGGGAUGUGGCAGCUCAAGAUGAAGGCCAUUUUGGUUCAAGACGGAGUUGAUUUAGUGAUACAGGGAAUUGGGAAAAAACCAGAGAGUGUGACAGACGCAAAUUUUGCUGAAAUGGAUAAAAAGACAAGGUCCAGUAUUAUCCUAAAUCUCUCUAACGAGGUUUUGCGGGAGGUAGCCACUGAAAUUUCGGCAAAGGCCAUGUGGGACAAGGUUAAGGCCUUGUAUAUGAAGAAGACGAUUGAGAAUCGGCUUUAUUUAAAGCAAAGUCUGUAUAUAGUUCACAUGACUGAAGAUACGUCUAUACUCUCACAUCUUGAUAAAUUUGAUUCCAUUAUUAUGGAUCUGAAAAAUAUAGAUUCAAAAAUUGAUGAUAAGAAUCAGGCCCUAUUACUUUUGUGUUCCCUUCCCCGGUCUUUUAAAUAUUUUCGUGAUACUAUGAUUUAUGGAAAAGAAACAAUUUUGUAUCAUGAAAUGAAAUCUGUAUUAAAAUCUAAGGAACAGAUAGAUAGGGUUAUUAAUGGGGAAUCUAGUGGAAGUCAGGCAGAAGGUUUGGUUGUUAGGAGCAAAAUCGAGAAAAGAGAAUUUGACAAUAGUAGAUCUAAAUUCAAAUAUAGAAAUAUAAAGUGUAAUUAUUGGCAUAAAAUGGGGCACAUUAAGGCCAAUUGUUUCAAAUUGAAAAAUAAAUUGAAAUAAAAAGGAAAAUUUGGUGAGAAAAAUGUUGACACUGCCGAAACUAGUAUUGCAGCUGAUAAGAAUGAAGAAAAUAUUUUUUUGUGACUAAUGACAGGUGAAGGUCCAAAAAUGAAAGAAUUUUAGACUCGGAGUGCUCUUAUCACAUAUGUCCCAAUAGAAAUUUAUUUUCCAUUUAUGAAUCUUGUAAUAGUGGAAUGUUUUGAUGGGUAAUAAUGUCGUUUGUAAUGUUGUUGGUAAGGAUACAAUCCAAAGUAAAAUACAUAAUGGUGUUGUGAAGACGCUCAUUAAUGUUAGACAUAUUCCUGAUUUGAAAAAGAAUCUCAUCUUUUUGGGUACCCUAGAGGCUUUUCGGUGCAAAUACACAGCUGAAAAUGGCAUUUUGAAAGUUUCUAAAGGUGUUCUCGUUGUAAUAAAAGCUUGCAGGGUUGGUAGUUUAUAUGUUUUGUAGGGAACUACUGUCACAGGCUCGGUUGCAGUUUCUUCAUCAUCUUUAUCAGAUUCUGACAUCACUAAAUUGUGGAAUAUGUGGUUGGAGCAUAUGAGCAAGAAAGGUUUGGGCAUACUAAGCAAAAGGAAACUUCUUUACGGUCAGAGUACUGGGUCAUUGGAAUUUUGUGAACAUUGUGUCUUUGAAAAGCAAAAAAGAGUUAGUUUCAGAUCUCCAGCAAUCCAUAAGACGAAAGAUACUCUUGAUUAUAUUCAUUCAGAUUUAUGGGGUCUAUCUUAUGUUCCGUCUAAGGGUGAUGCCAGGCAUAUGUUGACUUUCAUUGAUAAUUAUUUAAGAAAAGUUUGGGUUUAUUUUCUUAAACAUAAGAAUGAUGUUUACCUCACUUUCAAGCAAUGAAAAGUUUUGAUUGAAAAAUAGACAGGUAAACAAAUCAAGUGGAUUAGAAUAGAUAAUGGCAUGAAAUUUUGUGAAAGAGAAUUGAUGAAUUUUGAAAGAAUGAAGGAAUUUUUUGAUAUCGCAUUGUCAAGAUGACGCCUCAACAAAAUGGUAUAGCUGAACGUAUGAACAGAACACUUUUGGAGAGAGUAAAGUGUAUGAUCUCUUAUGCAGGGUUGACAAAAGACUUUUGGAUAAAGGCAAUCUCUAUGGCUUGUUAUAUUGUCAACCACGCUCCUUCUGCUGCUCUUAAUUUCAAAACUCCUGAGAAAGUUUGGUUAGGUAUUCCUGCUAAUUAUUCUAAUUUUAAAAUUUUUAGAUGUCUAGUAUACAUGCAUGUUAAUGAUGAAAAAUUAGAGUCUCGAGCUAAAAAAUGUAUUUUCAUUGGAUAUGCUUCUGAGGUGAAAGGGUACAGAUUAUAGUAUCCUGAUCCCAAAUUUUUAAAAUUUAAAAUCAUUAAAGAUGUUACUUUUGAUGAAUUCUCUAUAUUAUCUUUCAAGAAGGAGUCUUCUAGUUCUUGUCAAACAGAUAAUAGUAUCCAGAAGUAGGUGGAGUUUGAGAUUGGUAGUUCUGGUCCUUCUAUUCAACAAGUGCCAGUAGAUGCAUCUGAAUCUACUGAUAAAAAUAAUUCAGAAAAGAAAGAAUAUUCCAUUGUCAGAGAUAGACCAAAGAAGGAUAUUCGACCACCACAAAAAUAUGCAAAUUUAGUUGCAUAUGUUUUUCUGUUACAGAAGAAAUUGAUGUAAUUUGUGAGCUUACUACCUAUUCAGAUGCAAUUUCUUGUAAUGAUUCUGUUAAGUUGUUGAUUGCAAUGAAUGAAGAAACUGACUCUCUCCAUCAAAAUAGAACUUGGAUUCUUGUGAAACUGCCUUCAGAUAAGAAAAUUGUUGGAUGCAAAUAGGUUUUCAAGAAGAAAGAAGGUAUUUCAGUGGUUGAAAAUGCAAGGUAUAAAGCAUGAUUGGUUGCAAAGGGCUAUAGUCAGGUACAAGGUGUUGAUUUUAAUGAAAUUUUUUCACCUGUUGUUAAGCAUAGCUCUAUUCGUGUCUUACUUGCUUUAGUUACCAUGUAUGAUUUGGAGUUGGAGUAGUUUGAUGUUAAAAUAGCUUUCUUACAUGGUGAACUUGAAGAGAAAUUUUAUAUGAAGCAACCUCAGGGAUUUGAAAUUGAAGGAAAGGAAGACCAUGUUUGUUUGUUAAGGAAAUUCUUAUAUGAAUUGAAACAGUCUCCAAGACAGUGAUAUAAGAGGUUUGACACUUUUAUGUUGGGUCAUGGUUAUUCAAGGAGCAUUAUGAUAGUUGUGUUUAUUUCCGAAAGUUAGAUUAUGGUUCUUUCAUUUAUUUGCUACUUUAUGUUGAUGAUAUGCUCAUUGCUGCUAAGAAUUUGUCAGAAAUUCAUACUUUGAAAUUGCAGUUAAAUAGUGAAUUUGAAAUAAAGCAUUUGGGAGCAACUAAGAAAAUUUUUGGCAUGGAGAUCAAGAGAGACUGAGGAGUUGGAAAGUUAUUCUUGUUUCAAGAAAAUUACCUUGAGAAAAUUUUGGAGAAGUUUGGCAUGAAAGAUGGUAAACCUGUGACUACUCCUCUUGCCAGUCAUUUUCGACUAUCUGCUGCUCAGUCACCACAAUCAGUUGAAGAGAAAGAGUAUAUAGCACGGGUUCCUUAUUCUAGUGCAGUCGACAGUAUUAUGUAUGCAAAGGUUUGUACUCGUUUAGAUAUUGCACAAGCAGUCAGCGUGGAUAUAUGUCUUGUCCUGAAAAAAACACAUUGGCAGGCUGUGAAGUGAAUUUUCAAAUACUUGCGAAGGACUUCAAACUGCUGUUUGGAAUUUGGAAGAAAUAAUAACACUUUGGUUAGUUUUGUAGACUCUGACUAUGCCAGGGAUCUUGACAGGAGAAUAUCACUUUCAUAUUAUGUAUUCUAUAUUGACGGUUGUGCAGUUAGUUGGAAAGUUACGUUACAACCUAUUGUAGUUUUAUCUACUACGGAGGCAGAAUAUAUAGCUAUGACCGAGACAAUCAAAGAAACCUUGUGAUUGAAGAGUUUGUUUGACGAAUUUAGUCUGCAUCAAGGUAUUAUUACUAUUUAUUGUGAUAGUCAAAGUGCCAUUCAUUUGACUAAAGAACAAAUGUAUUUUGAGAGGACAAAACACAUGGAUGUAAAAUUUCAUUUCAUUCGAGAUACUAUUGCUGAGAAAAAAGUCCUUGUUCAAAUAAUCAGUACCAAGAAGAAUCUUAUUAAUAUGUUCACGAAACCUCUUACAAUUUAUAAGUUCAAGCAAUACUUGAAUUUGGUUAGUGUUCAUUGUUGGUGAUCUAAGCUCAUUGGGGCUUAUGUAGAGAAAGUGAAGCAGUUUUGCUAUUAUCGAUGUUGGGGACACGCUAAAGUGGAAAUUUGUUAAUUUUGCUUUAGCCCCACAUCGGAUUUUGCAUAAGGGAGGCUCUUCCUUAUGUGCCUAUAAAUAUAGUAGGCAUGUGAUGAGAUUAAGUGCACCAAACCAAGAGAGCAUUUAUGAGUUAUUGGGUCAUUAAACCUUUUGUUUAGUAAAAUAUUUUGGGCUCUCUUGUGUUUUAAGAAUUAGGAGUAUUUGGGCCUAGGAACAUUUUCCUAAGGUAUUUUGUACACUUUUCUUCAUAGUAAAAAUAUUGUUCUCCUUCCGCCCGUGGACGUUGGUCAAUUUGACCAAAUCAUGUAAAUUUCUGUGUUCUUGUUUUAUUUAUUUUGCUUUGUUAUUUAUCAUUUGGGUUUGCCAAAAAUCCUUUCGUCAAUUUCCUGGGCCAGUCCUAACAUCACCUAUUGUAUUUCAGUGCAAAUUUCUUUCUCUCUUCAAUAUCAUUUGAAAAUUUAUCACUUUUUUGUUCUGUUAAUUAUCUAUUAAUCUUGGGAAUAUCUUUUUGGUAAUUAGAGCUACACAAAAAAAAUUCAGUGUGUCUAUUGACACGACAUUACAGUUAUCGUUUUAGAAGGAAUGUUAUAAAGAAAACUGUGAUGGUAAUUAAGUGCUUUUUCUUUGAAUUGUUGCUGUUUGUACUGCAACUGAAACGUAUGUGUUUGUGUUUUUUUUUUUGGAUAAAUAUUUUAUAGCUGUUUGAAAUGAUUUUGGCUUUGUUACAUGUUGAGCUCUCUGCAAUUUUUUUAAUUAAUUUUGUGUAGUCAAUUGAAAUAAUUUUGGCUUUCUUACAUGUUGAGCUCUCUGUAAAUGAGCAGCUCGGAAUUUAACUUCCAUGCUGAAGUAAUUCUAGUUAUGGUAUUGUGCUAGGAAUCAAGAAUUUUGACUUCUCAAGAUUCAGAGGUUUAAGGGCUCAAAGUGGCAGACUUGGGAUUUCGGAUAUUAUAGUUAUACAUAGAUUUCUCUCUUAACUAUGGCUGUGAAGACAUUGAAUAAUAUAUGGAUUCGACGGUAGCAAUGCCCUUGUGGAAAUUGGAAGUGCUAUGUUUCAAAGUACAAAGGCGAUGACCAACCGAUCGCAUUCAUGAAGAAUAAAACAACAAUUUCUUUGUUGAAUGAAGUUGUUUUUACUCCUUAUGUUGGCCAGAUAUUUCGAAGUGAUGACAAGCUUUUGAAUAUUAUAGCAACUUUCCUCGAAAGAAUGGGUUUCAAUUAGGAAAGCCUGCUCAACAGAAAGCCAAAAUUUAGGGAUUUUGUUUGUUACCGUUCAGGAUUUAAUCCUCCAAGGAAGAGAGCCAUUGUGGAGCAUCCACCUGAUCGAAAAUCUUCUGUGUGGUUAUAUAUAGAAUCUUCAGUGUCACUUUUUCAGUAACAACUUAGUAUCACUUUUAUAUUUUUGUUAAGUAUCAUGUGCAUUUAAUUUGUCAUGUACUGUUUAUUUAAAUUUUUUCUACUUCCGUGUGAUAAAUGGGAUUGACAUUAAAUUUGACACUGAAUAAUGGCAAAAAGGAUCCCAACUAGUGUGGUUGUUAUGCAAAAGUGUACCUAACAAAGGUGGUUGUAGAUGGCCAGGCUCAAUGGUAUGUCUCUCAGUUCGGUAUUGUUCAUAACCACGAGCAAAUGGAAGAUGAUCAAGUGCAGGUACUUCCCGCUCAUAGAAAAUUCAAGAGGCAGACCAAGAUCGCAUCCUUCUAGUCUCAAAAGCUGGAUUCCCAGUGAAUCGAAUAGUAAAGGUGCUGGAGGUAGAAAAAGGUGUUCAACCAGGUCAAUUGCUUUUUAUUGAAAAGGGUUAAAUACCAAAAACUCCCCUGUGAUUUGACUAAUGUUCACUUUACCUUCCUAUGGUUUGGAAACCUAUAAUUUGACUCCCCGUCCUUUCAACUAAAGUAAAAGUCUGACGGAAAACAUCUAAACCUACGUUUGAAAGGAAAAUGUCAAAAUUGCCCCUCUAUAAGUCAAACCCUUGGAAGAAUGUUUCAUGCAUUUGAGAAUGGGUAAAAUACCAAAAAUCCCCCUAUAGUUUGCCAAAUAUACACUUUACCUCCCUAUGGUUUGGAAACCUAUAAUUUAACUCCCUGUCAUUUCACCUAAAGUGAAAGUCUGACAGAAAUACCAUUAUUGUAGAUGUUUUCUUUUAGACUUUCACUUUAGUUGAAAUGACAGGGAGUUAAAUUGUAGGUUUCCAAACUAUAGGGAGGUAAAGUGAAUAUUAGUCAAACCACAGGGUGGUUUUUGGUAUUUAACCCUAUUGAAAAAAAUGUAAAGAAAUUUGUCAGGACAUGUGAAAAGACAGUCCAAGAAAAUGAUGUUAUGCUGUCUGAGAAGAGGGAACUCGGGCUAGCUGAGUAGGCCAUCAGGAAGUAGGGGUGUAUUUGGAAAAAAACUGAAAAUUUGGUUGAUCCAAUCUAAAUCGGAUUUCAGAUUUCAGUAAAAUGGAAUUCGGCAAGACUGAAACAUGUCUAAUUUUAAUAUUUAGUAAAAUAGUUCGAAAACAGAUAUUAAAAAUGCAUUAUUGAAUUGUUGAUUAUUAGCCGAAUUUUUAAAAUUUUAGAAUAUAUACACGUAUAUAUUAGUUAUAUCCAUAGGUAUUACUAAGUACUAAUUAGUAAAUAGUAACUAAUAAUUACUUAACCGCUAAUUGAUGUCUACAUAUUACUACUAACAAACUUAUUGACUAGUUUAACCAUUGACUAUUUAACUACUCUGUGUGCUAACUACUAACUAUUUGACAUUUUAGUAUUGAUUUAUUGCAUUACAGAAUUGGUUGGAGUUUGGACAGGGGAAAUGACAAAAUACAAUAUUGAUUUGUUAUUUUUUGUUUACUUAAUGUCAUGAUGAGUUGAUGACUGAUCACGUGCUACUGUUUUUAUUAUUAUUAUUAUUAUUAUUAUUAUUAUUAUUAUUAUUAUUAUUAUUAUUAUUAUUAUUGAAAAGCUGAAAAAAACAUAUGUAAUAUUAUUUUGGUGUAAUAAUAAUUUUUUUAGAAAAUUGAAAUAUUUUAGCUUACUAUCGAUAUUUCGAAUUUUGGAUAUUAUCGAACUACCAAUUCUCUAACCAAAAUCUAAUUUAUCAAACUAAACUUUGAACGGUAAGCGAUCUUGACGAAUUCGUUAUUAAAUCCCCGAAUUUUUUUUUAUUGAAUGAAUAUCCCUACUAAGGAGGGACUUAAAUCCUCCUUUGGAUGUAGAUCGAGGGAUCAAAUCUCUCUACCUGUAUUUUCUUAUCCCUAGAAAAUUUUGCUAAAGGAUGCACUAAGCAUCCGUAUGGUUUGAUAGUAGUUCAAUCUCCUCCAAAUCUCUAUUAACUCCUUUGGAUUCGUCCUUUCCUUUUAGUGUAAAAUAGGAGGAGUAGGAGUAAAGGUAGAACAAAUAUUAGCAUAUUGGGAGAAAAAAAAUAAGAGUAGAACAGAAAUUAUCGUGCUUGGAGAAAAAAAAGGUUGUCUCAGAUGAGAGGAGGGAGAAUGAUCUCCAAGAGCAUCUUGAGGGUUGUAAAGCCAUGGCACAUAAGGAUGAUGGAUUUGUCUACAACUAUACUACUGAGGAGUAGAAAACAUUGCACGGGCUUAUGCCUUAUGGAGACUCCGUCUCUACAUUUUCAGCUUUUGGUGAUGUUGUUACAUUUGACACCACUUAUCGUUCAAUUACUUACAAUUAGAGCUGUUAAUCGAGCCGAGUAUUUGGCUGCCGAACUCGACUCGAAUUUAAUUCGAGCCGAACUCGACUCGAGCUCGUUAGGAAAACAAGCUUUAAAAUGUGUUCGAACUCGGCUCGUUAAAUAUACAUGUGGCUCGAGCUCGAGCUCGAGUUCAAGCUCGACUCGUUUAUCACAAACGAGUCGAGUUUCACGAGUUUGACCUCGAGCUCGUGCAAAUUAACCUUAAUAAAAAUCUAUAAUUUUUAAUUUUUAUAAUUUUAAUUUCUAAAAUGACAAAUAUGCCCUUUAUUAACGAGUUCUAACGUGCUACUCGAGUAUCAAACGAGCCGAGUUAACUAAACGAGCAUGUUUCGAGCUCGAGCUCGACUCGUUAACCAAAAUUAACGAGCCGAGCUCGAACCUUAACGAGUCGAGCUCUAACGAGCUUUCGAGCUACUCGAUUGACUUAAUAGCUCUACUUACAAUCUACCACUUGGGGUUUGGUUUGGCAUAAGCAAUCAUGGGAGAGCAAUUUUGCUCGGCCGUGCUCUCUUACAAGAUGAAACAUUGCAGUCGUUCUCUUGGGCCUUAGAGGUUCGUUGUGAAGCCUCGCACUUACUGUUAAUGUCGUCUCUUUCUCGUUCAGGUAUUUGGUCAUGCAAUUAGAAGAUGAAUUUUUUUUUGGUCAAUGCGAGGACCCAUUUGGAUCAUUCUCUCUCGUAAUGAACAUUAGCCCUGGGAGCAAAGUGUACUGCAUAUAGCCUCAAAUUCUUUUCCACAAGUUGAGCAUAAAGUAGCUCUUCUCAAUGCAUUCUUAUCGAUCACCUUGUUUGACUUCAACCCGCACUUCCGCCUCUCUCAUUCCUCUCUCUCCGUCUCUCUCUUUCUUUCAUUUUUUGUAAAUUCCUCUUUUGAAAUACAUACAAGUACAAAUCAAAAUCUUUUAGCAACAAUUUUUCAGGUCAGGGUUCCUUUUGCUUUCUUGCCAAACUCCAUCUCAGCCUUGAAAAAUUUCCAAAAACCCCCGCCGCAUGUCUUCUGGUUUCUUUUUCGAUAAUUUCUGCUUGGAUUUGGUUUUUUAUUUUGGCUUUAUUUUUGGUUUUCCUUAAAUAAUCAUGAGCUUAACCCCCCCCCCAACCCCCAAAAAAAAAAAACCUAAAGCAUCUCAGGAAAUGAAAGAGGGAAAGAAACCACAAAGGAGAGUGGCGAUGGUUUCGCUGGAGAAGGAUCUCAGGAGUAGAUACCAGCGAAGGCAAAAGGUAGAUAUAAACUUGUUACAACUUUUGGGGAGGAAAGAGAGAGGAAGUAAUGAAGGGAUGCAGAUAAUAUGGUGAUGCUGAAUAGGGUAGGAAGGAAGCGGUGAUUCUGGGGGAAGUAGUAGUUAAGGAAGAAGAGACGCUGAUGAUUGGGGGAUAACGGAGGGUCGGAAGCAAAUUUGGGAUUGAUGGGGGAAAUUGCAUAUUAAAAUCUAUGGACAACAGAAAGAGUGGUAGAGUGUGUGCUGAUGUGUGAAAUUGUGUGGAAAAGAGGGGAAGACUUAAUAAAACCAAAAAUUAAGGGUCAUAAAUGAAUAGCUGGAUUUCCUGCUUCUACUUUAGACUGCAUAUAUUUAGACGCUGAACGAACGAGAGUUGACGUUUUCAGAAAACAAAUGAGUUGACCUAAUUACACUCUAUUACCCAGCUACAAGCCCUCCAAACAUACCCAAAACAUGUCCAAAUUGCCAUUUUGACACCCACAAGUUGUAACAUGCACAUGUUACGCAAGUAAAAAGACUUCCCAUCUUGCAUGCUACAAAUGUUGCAGACCUGCCAGAGAUUUCGAAAGAAUCUAACAUUAGAAAUAAGCGUUAGCUGCAGCAGGGGCAUCAAUUGCAAGAGGGACACCAACUUAUCUAAAUUACUUAUACAUGAGGUCACAGAUUCCCACCUGAGGAACCAAGCUGGCAAGGCAGUUCAUAGAUCAAACUGCAUAUGACUCAAAGCAUUCUUUUCCCCCUCCAAUAUCAGGUAACCUAGAUUCUAUAUAGUGUCCUUAGUCAAAGGCCUCAAAAACAAGAAAAUGAAUGUUCAGCACCACAACAUAUCUCGUGCAAAAAGAAACUAUCAACAGGUUUCUGCUGCUUCCCUUCACAACGCAUCUAGGUGACAUUCUUGUGGAAAAGGUCAUUAAGCUUUAACAAUGUCUUUCGACUUUGCUUGCAAGGAUUCUGUCAGUCUUCAAAGGGACUGAAGAGAUUAACAGGUUCUGACUUUUUGGCAGUCAAAUAGACCAAAAGAAACAAAACUAUGGCCAGUGGGAAAAGUCAAACACCAUAGGUUGAGUUGGCUCCUGCUUCCUGAGGGCUUUCCCAAUUUUCAAAAGCAUACGUUACUGAAUUUGUAUCCCGGACCAUGGAUAAAAUGAUAAAUUGCUCAAGGCACAGCAAUGCAUGUACAAGAUGGGUACGAGUUGAAGCUCUAAAGUAGAGAGAAUAGGAACAGCAAUACAAUUAGCAUAUCAAUGAAAAAUCUUGAUCAAUCGAACAGCUGACCCUAACUAGCUGGUCAGAAGAUUUUUAUAUGGAUACCAAAAACAAAUCCCUAAUCACCAAAUGACAGGGUUCAUAUGCACUACAGCCUUGGCGAUAUUGAUUUUUAUCAGUCUGAGCUUACCAGACCACUUGCAAGGUAGAUAAGUAAAUCCGACUU